rnacentral:rRNA from 1 species
UACGUAGGGGGCAAGCGUUAUCCGGAUUUACUGGGUGUAAAGGGAGCGUAGACGGCACUGCAAGUCCGGAGUGAAAGCCCAAGGCUUAACCAUGGGACUGCUCUGGAAACUGUGCAGCUGGAGUGCAGGAGAGGUAAGCGGAAUUCCUAGUGUAGCGGUGAAAUGCGUAGAUAUUAGGAGGAACACCAGUGGCGAAGGCGGCUUACUGGACUGUAACUGACGUUGAGGCUCGAAAGCGUGGGGAGCAAACAGG